GACGAACGCUGGCGGCGUGCUUAACACAUGCAAGUCGAACGGAAAGGCCCUGCUUGCCGGGUGCUCGAGUGGCGAACGGGUGAGUAACACGUGGGUGAUCUGCCCCUUACUUUGGGAUAAGCCUGGGAAGCUGGGUCUAAUACUGGAUAGGACCAUGCUGUAGGUGGUGUGGUGGAAAGAUUAGUUUCGGUAAGGGAUGAGCUCGCGGCCUAUCAGCUUGUUGGUGGGGUAAUGGCCUACCAAGGCGUCGACGGGUAGCCGGCCUGAGAGGGUGGACGGCCACAUUGGGACUGAGAUACGGCCCAGACUCCUACGGGAGGCAGCAGUGGGGAAUAUUGCACAAUGGGCGCAAGCCUGAUGCAGCGACGCCGCGUGGGGGAUGACGGCCUUCGGGUUGUAAACUCCUUUCAGCCAUGACGAAGCCCUUGUGGUGACGGUAGUGGUAGAAGAAGCACCGGCUAACUACGUG
rnacentral:rRNA from 1 species